rnacentral:rRNA from 1 species
CUACGGGUGGCAGCAGUGAGGAAUAUUGGUCAAUGGGCGGGAGCCUGAACCAGCCAAGUCGCGUGAGGGAAGACGGUCCUAUGGAUUGUAAACCUCUUUAGGCGGGGAGCAAUGCCGGGCACGCGUGCCCGGAGGGAGAGUACCCGCAGAAUAAGUAUCGGCUAACUCCGUGCCAGCAGCCGCGGUAAUACGGAGGAUGCGAGCGUUAUCCGGAUUCAUUGGGCUUAAAGGGAGCGUAGGCGGUCGUUCAAGUCAGCUGUAAAAUCGCGCGGCUCAACCGCGCCCCGCAGUUGAAACUGGACGACUUGAGUUCACAACAGGCAGGCGGAAUUCGUGGUGUAGCGGUGAAAUGCAUAGAAAUCACGAGGAACCCCGAUUGCGAAGGCAGCCUGCCGGGGUGCGACUGACGCUGAGGCUCGAAGGUGCGGGUAUCAAACAGGAUUAGAUACCCUAGUAGUC